GCCCAGCAGAUGAUCUUCCAAAUUGUGCCAUUUAUGUUUCUAUCCGCGGUGGUGUUACAGAUCUACCUUGUCCUUACAAAUGUGUUUCAGAGAGAUAUCACAUGCCUCAUUGUUAUACAGCUCUUGAAGAGUUAGUUUACACAUUUGGAUGGUCGUGGUUAUUUGGUCUUCUUCUUUUGGGUGUCUUAAUUCUGUUAGCCCUAGUGUUGAGUGUAGCUCGAAUGAAGUUUGUAGGUGUUGACGAGCCACCAGGCCCUGCGCCCACACAACAGGGUUCUCAGAUAGAUCACUCAUUUCCAUUUCUUGAGUCACUAAAUGAGGUUUUGGAAACAAACCGUGUUGAGGAAUCCCAGAGCCAUGUGCAUAGAAUGUAUUUUAUCGGUUCGAAUACAUUCAGUGAACCUUGGCAUUUACCUCAUACACCUCCAGAA